GGUGCAAACCUUGUAAAGCUGGCGAAAAAAAGGAAAACCGUUUAAAAAAUCGUUACUUUAAUGUCCUCCCUUAUGAUCAUACGCGUGUGAAACUAAAGGAUGCUAAAAACGACUAUAUUAAUGCUAAUUUUAUUACGCUAAAAGACGUGAAUGGUCGUUAUAUAGCUGCUUCGGCGCCUCCGGCUUGCGCUAUCGGCGAUUUUUGGCAAAUGGCUUUUGAAAAAAAAGUUACUUCUAUUAUUAUGCUCAC